rnacentral:rRNA from 1 species
UACAGAGGGUGCAAGCGUUAAUCGGAGUUACUGGGCGUAAAGGGCGCGUAGGUGGUUGUUUUAAGUGAGAUGUGAAAGCCCUGGGCUUAACCUAGGAACUGCAUCUUAUACUGGGCAACUGGAGUACUGUAGAGGGUAGUGGAAUUUCCGGUGGAGCGGUGAAAUGCGUAGAGAUCGGAAAGAACACCAACGGCGAAAGCACUCUGCUGGGCCGACACUGACACUGAGAGACGAAAGCUAGGGGAGCGAAUGGG